rnacentral:other from 1 species
AAAGUCCUGAUGUGUUCGUCUAAAUACCUUAUCGUUUUGACCGACAAGUUUUAACUACGGGAGCUUGGAGUUUCCAAAUCGAUGGCAUGCCUUUGGUCAAAGGACGCUUGAGAUUCGGAGCAGGGCACCCACCUGCCGAGAGCGGGUUCAAAACAAAGGAUCUUAAUGACGGCACAAUUGGGACUUUU